rnacentral:rRNA from 1 species
CGGCAACAGCUCAAAUUUGAAAUCUGGCGCAAGCCCGAGUUGUAAUUUGUAGAGGAUGCUUCUGGGUAGCGGCCGGUCUAAGUUCCUUGGAACAGGACGUCAUAGAGGGUGAGAAUCCCGUAUGUGACUGGCUUGCACCCUCCACGUAGCUCCUUCGACGAGUCGAGUUGUUUGGGAAUGCAGCUCUAAAUGGGAGGUAAAUUUCUUCUAAAGCUAAAUACCGGCCAGAGACCGAUAGCGCACAAGUAGAGUGAUCGAAAGAUGAAAAGCACUUUGGAAAGAGAGUUAAAAAGCACGUGAAAUUGUUGAAAGGGAAGCGCCCGCAACCAGACUUUGCGGCAGUGUUCGGCCGGUCUUCUGACCGGUUUACUCGCUGUCGUGAGGCCAUCAUCGUCUGGGACCGCUGGAUAAGACCUUAGGAAUGUGGCUCCCCUCGGGGAGUGUUAUAGCCUCUGGUGAUGCAGCGCGUCUCGGGCGAGGUCCGCGCUUCGGCAAGGAUGAUGGCGUAAUGGUUGUCGGCGGCCCGUCUUGAAACACGGACCAAGGAGUCUAACAUCUAUGCGAGUGUUCGGGUGUCAAACCCCUACGCGUAAUGAAAGUGAACGGAGGUGGGAACGUUUUGUGCACCAUCGACCGAUCCUGAUGUCCUCGGAUGGAUUUGAGUAAGAGCAUAGCUGUUGGGACCCGAAAGAUGGUGAACUAUGCCUGAAUAGGGUGAAGCCAGAGGAAACUCUGGUGGAGGCUCGCAGCGGUUCUGACGUGCAAAUCGAUCGUCAAAUUUGGGUAUAGGGGCGAAAGACUAAUCGAACCAUCUAGUAGCUGGUUCCUGCCGAAGUUUCCCUCAGGAUAGCAGUAACGUUUUCAGUUUAUGAGGUAAGCGAAUGAUUAGAGGCUUGGGGUGAAACACCUUACCUAUCCCAACUUUAAAUUGUAAAAAGCCUUGUACUUAUUGAACUGGAAUUUGAU